UCGAUUACCAUCCCUCCUUAACCGUCAUCAAACAAUAGCUUCGUUGUCGGCCACGGUUCCACCGGCGAUGGCUGGCUGUUGUCAAUCCGAAAGAUAAUCCUAGGCUCGCCCUUAUGUUUCUUUGGGUACUUUUUUGUGUCGCCUCGCUUCGGUCUCUCCCUAGAAGUCAAGUGAUUCACAUCUUGGCUGCGCAAUAUUUGUUUUUCGUCCACCUGUUGUCAGGUUUUUGGGUCUCCCUUUCCCCGUCUGGUCUCCCCCAUCGUUUUUGCAAGUAUUGUGGUGUUUCGGUGCUUUGGUAUAUGUAUAUAAUUCUUGUGGGUUGUCCUGGCUUGGUUGAGGUGGCUUGUUGAAUGAGGUUGGUGUCCUGUGAUUGAGGUUGGGUCCCAUGGAUCUUGGUUCGUCUUCCCCGUGUCCCUCUUUGGCUGAUGCAGUGGCUUCCAAUUCACGCUCGUCCGCCAACUGCUCGUCAAAAUACCUCAACUGCUUCUAAGUCUUUCAUUGAUUAUUUGAGUCGGUUAUUUUCUACACUUUUACUAGAUGUAAUAAUUGUUUAGCUAUUGCCUUCUAGUCUAUUACAAUUUGGAACUUGCUGCUAAUUAUAAAUUUUCCUUAGUUGGGAAAUUUAUUUACAGCUACAAUUUGCACGGAUUGUAAAGACAGUGAAGUGUGUUGAUUAUUUCAAAGCUGAGGAUAGACCAAGAGAGUUUGCUAACAUAUGUAUCACCACCAAGUGGAUGCAUGCAUCAAAUAAUUCAUUGAUAUACCGAUGCUUAGAAGUGAAAUAUAAAGAGUGAGAAGAACCACCAUUGUCUGUUUUGCGUGUUCAGUACCCCGAAUGGCCCCAUCAUGGAGUUCCAAAAUACACUCUUGUAUUGUAGACUGUAUAAGCAUAUGAUGAAGCACUAGAUUUUUAUCAUUUUUGAGUUAAGAUGACAUGCUUGCAGUUAUCCAUGAUUAUUCAGAAUUCAAUAGAAACAAUUAAAUGAAAUUCAUAAUUUUUAAUUAGAACUUAUUAUGAAGUGUCCAAGAGCAUAAAUGGAAUAUUAGAUAUGUCAGACAUCACUAAGAUGUGAUGUUUGCAAUUUUAUUCUUAGAAAUUGAGGUUGUCAGCAAUUUAUAGUCGGAGUUGAUGUUGGUGUAUUGACUGACUUAAACUAAUAGAAACAUGAGAAUUUCAUCAACUUCAUGCGUGUUGCUUUUGAAAGCGUAGUUAUGAUGAAGGUGAUAGGGAAAAAGCUUAGCUCAGUUAAAGACAUAAUCUACAUGUUUGAGAUGUCCUUUGGUGUUCAGUUACUUCCGUCAGGGCAUACUAAAGAAUUUUAAUAUUUCGCCAUUUGAUCGGCAUUGAUUUGUUGUGUGAAACAUGCCCUAGAACAAAAUAUACCUUAUUAUUGCAGGUUUACCUGAGUCAAAUGAAUAUAUAUUUAUUGAGGCUAAUGGUGGUUUAAAUCUGCAGAGUACAUCGGUAUAUUUUCGUGGAUAACAAUGUUUAUGUAUCAUGUUAAAAUUUUGAUUUUUUAUGUUUGGGAGUUAUGGAAAUGCACUAUCUCACUGAUUUUGAUGUUUCUAGAUAUGCAAUGUUGUAGCUUUUGCAGACUACCUCAAUGCAACCCUCAUUAUCCAAAACUUUCAUUUUCACAACAUUAGGAGAGAUCUAAGGUGAUACCUAGCCAUUAUCAAGGGAUUUGUUACCGCAGUUACAGUCCCGGAGACCGCACUUAUUCUCCCAAGUAAUGCCGGAGCGAAGAUCCUCGAUGAGGUACUCGACGGAGAUAACAUCAAGUGCACUUACAAGGAUGUACACAUUUUUUUUAAAAUGUUUAUUCUUUUGUGAAUUAAAUUACUUUAGUUGCUGAUAUAAUUCUUAUAUCAUUGGAAACACAUUGCAUUGGUUCGCUGCCUCUGUGAUUUUGCACUCGAUGAGCUUGAUCGUUCAUAACUGUAUUUGUUAGUCGAACUUAGGAUAGUACUGUAGUUUGAUACCAUAUCUAUUUAUUCACGUAUUACUUUUGGAUUUGGGGAUCAAGUGUUAGCAAGUUGUUAGUUAGUUGUUAUGCUGUAUGGCAUGGUG